CUUCUCCCACCUCCCGUCAGGCAGAGGAGUCCUGAUGAAGGGUCUCAGCCCGAAAUGACGACAGUUUUCCCUCCUCCAUAGAGGCUGUCUGACCUGCUGAGUUCCUCCAGUAUUUUGUAUUUGUCGCUUUGGAUUUCCAGCAUCAGCAGGUUUUUUUCGUGUAGAGGAUACAAUCGCGUAGCUGCAGGAUCAAGUGCCUGUUUCUGUGUGACUUAAUCACUGGGUCAUGGGUCUCAGUCUCAGGGGAAGGCAACAGUCUCAUCAGUUUCUCUAACAGAGCCAGGUGCACAAAAUGCAGGUGUAUUCAUACUGUACUUCAGUGCAAUACUGAGGGACACAAUAUCAAACUCGGCCCCUUUCCUGUUUAUCUCAGUGGUGUCCCAGGGAACAAAUCCAGGAGAUUCCAGGCAAAUCCUAUGGGAUCGAAGGUCUACAGACUCUCUAGCCUUGGCAAUUCCUUGGAUGGAUGAGAAAUGUUAGGCAAGAUGCUGGGUAUCUUGCCGAUGCUGGAAAUCCAAAGCAACCAACACAAAAUGCUGGAGGAACUCAGCAGAUCAGGCAGCAUCUACAGAAAUGAAAAAACAGUUAACGUUUUGUGUUGAGACUCUUCUUCAACAUACCGACUCUUCAUCCUCUACUCUUCAGUCUAUUGCUGAGGUACCUUUGAACACCAGGCAGGGUAUAGUGGGCUUCCAUUCAACCACUCAUUUGAAUGAUGGCAUCUCCAACAUGCCGCAGUCCCAUCAAAAGCACACUGAUUAAGAUUAAAGAUUAUCUUUACAUGUACAUUGAGGCAUUCAAGCCUGCAGUGAAAUGCGUCAUUUUUGCAUCAAUGACUGACACAGUGUGUGGAUUGUUCUGGGGGCUACCCACAAGCGUCACCACGUUUCCGGUUCCAACAUAGAAUGCCCACAGCUCACCAAUCCUAAUCCUAACCCUAACCGCAUGCCUGUGGAAUAUGGAAGAGAACCGGACUUCCUGGACGAAACUCAUGCAUGUAUGGGCAGAACAUACACACUCCUUGCAGAGAGUGAUGAGAAUUGAACACUGAUUGAUGAUCACUGGCACUGUAAAGUGAUGCACUAAAGGUUAAAGAUGAUCUUUGCAAGUACAUUGAAGCAUCAACACAUACAGUAAAAAGUAUCAUGUUCACAUGAUAGAGCCACCAGUCGAAAUAUGAUGUUUAACUCUUUGGAACAGGACUUAACCCUACCCUCUUUCGCUGAUGAUUGUAUCACCACUGAGUACAUCUUACCGAAGAAAGGCUUGCAUGUUUUCCUCGGCCACUUUGUUUUCUGGGAUUGUCUAAGUCUUUAAAACCAGUGUUCCUGGCUUAUCUCCAUCUAGGUCAUCAAGCAAAGAUUGCCUUUUUGGAAUCUACGAGCGAAACCAUAAUAGUUUGCAUUGAGACUGAUU